rnacentral:piRNA from 1 species
UGCCUCAGUGGCAUGGACACAAGAGUGUGGU